UCCUACGGGACGCAGCAGUGGGGAAUAUUGCACAAUGGGGGAAACCCUGAUGCAGCAACGCCGCGUGGGUGAAGGAGCGUUUCGGCGCGUAAAGCCCUGUCAGCGGGGAAGAAGAAAGACGGUACCCGACCAAGAAGCCCCGGCUAACUACGUGCCAGCAGCCGCGGUAAUACGUAGGGGGCGAGCGUUAUCCGGAAUUACUGGGUGUAAAGGGAGCGUAGACGGCAAUGCAAGUCCGGAGUGGAAUGCGGCAGCUCAACUGCCGAACUGCUCUGGAAACUGUAUGGCUUGAGUGCAGGAGGGGG
rnacentral:rRNA from 1 species